rnacentral:rRNA from 1 species
ACAUGCCUACAACAUAACGUUAAUGCACUAGACCCCAUUAGAACUACACAGUUAAGCAUGCUCAAGCUAGAGUAGUACUGGGAUGGGUGACCGCCCGGGAAUUCCUAGUGUUUUACAUGCC